rnacentral:rRNA from 1 species
UACGUAGGGUGCAAGCGCUAAUCGGAAUUACUGGGCGUAAAGCGUGCGCAGGCGGUUUUGUAAGUCUGACGUGAAAUCCCCGGGCUCAACCUGGGAAUUGCGUUGGAGACUGCAAGGCUGGAGUCUGGCAGAGGGGGGUAGAAUUCCACGUGUAGCAGUGAAAUGCGUAGAGAUGUGGAGGAACACCGAUGGCGAAGGCAGCCCCCUGGGUCAAGACUGACGCUCAUGCACGAAAGCGUGGGGAGCAAACAGG